rnacentral:rRNA from 1 species
ACUCCUACGGGAGGCAGCAGUCGAGAAUAAUUCACAAUGGGAACCGACUGAUGGUGCAACGCCGCGUGGAGGAUGAAGGCCCUAGGGUCGUAAACUCCUGUCAUUCGAGAGCAAGACCUGGGUGUUAACAGCACACAGGGUUGAUAGUAUCGAAAGAGGAAGGGACGGCUAACUUCGUGCCAGCAGCCGCGGUAAUACGAAGGUCCCGA